AGCAGCAUGGCGCAGCUGGAAGCGCGCAGGGCCCAUAUUAGGAAAUAUCGGCAACCUACCUGCCUUGGUCACCCUGAGGUCACUCGAUCGAAACGAGUUGCUGCUA